rnacentral:rRNA from 1 species
CGCGUGAGAAUCUGCCUUCGGGUCUGGGAUAACAGUUGGAAACGACUGCUAAUACCGGAUGUGCCCUUGGGUGAAAGAUUAAUNUGCCAGAAGAUGAGCUCGCGUCUGAUUAGCUAGUUGGUGGGGUAAAAGCCUACCAAGGCGACGAUCAGUAGCUGGUCUGAGAGGAUGAGCAGCCACACUGGGACUGAGACACGGCCCAGACUCCUACGGGAGGCAGCAGUGGGGAAUUUUCCGCAAUGGGCGAAAGCCUGACGGAGCAAGACCGCGUGAGGGAGGANAGGCCUUUGGGUUGUAAACCUCUUUUGUCAGGGAAGAAAAAAAUGACGGUACCUGACGAAUCAGCCUCGGCUAACUCCGUGCCAGCAGCCGCGGUAAUACGGAGGAGGCAAGCGUUAUCCGGAAUCAUUGGGCGUAAAGCGUCCGUAGGUGGCCAAGUAAGUCUGCUGUCAAAGACCACAGCUUAACUGUGGAAAGGCAGUGGAAACUGCGGGGCUAGAGUGCGGUAGGGGUAGAGGGAAUUCCAGGUGUAGCGGUGAAAUGCGUAGAGCUCUGGAAGAACACCGGUGGCGAAAGCGCUCUACUGGGCCGUAACUGACACUGAGGGACGAAAGCUAGGGGAGCGAANGGGA